rnacentral:rRNA from 1 species
GAGCUUGCUCCUAAAGGUUAGCGGCGGACGGGUGAGUAACACGUGGGCAACCUGCCUAUAAGACUGGGAUAACUUCGGGAAACCGGAGCUAAUACCGGAUAAUCCUUUUCCUCUCAUGAGGAAAAGCUGAAAGACGGUUUCGGCUGUCACUUAUAGAUGGGCCCGCGGCGCAUUAGCUAGUUGGUGAGGUAACGGCUCACCAAGGCGACGAUGCGUAGCCGACCUGAGAGGGUGAUCGGCCACACUGGGACUGAGACACGGCCCAGACUCCUACGGGAGGCAGCAGUAGGGAAUCUUCCGCAAUGGACGAAAGUCUGACGGAGCAACGCCGCGUGAGCGAUGAAGGCCUUCGGGUCGUAAAGCUCUGUUGUUAGGGAAGAACAAGUAUCGGAGUAACUGCCGGUACCUUGACGGUACCUAACCAGAAAGCCACGGCUA